AUGAUUUCUCUUGGAUUUGAGAAAGCCCCACUAGAGCAUGUGAUGUACAAGAGAGGUCAAGGAAGGGAUCGUCUACUAGUUGGCAUCUACGUCGACGAUCUGUUGAUAACUGGAGCAGAUGAAGAGGUGAUUGCAAAGUUCAAACUACAAAUGAAGGAGCUUUUCAAUAUGGAUGAUCUUGGUAUUUUGAGUUACUGCCUCGAGAUGGAGGAACAUCGAAAUCCGGAGGGGAUCACACUAUGCCAGGAGGCAUAUGCAAGGAAGGUACUUGAAAGCCGUAGCAUGAAAGAUUGCAAUCACAUUGUCGCUUCAAUGGAACCUCGUCUUGAGCUGAGCAGGAAGGAGAUGGUGGAACUACUCGGCUAUAGUGGUAGUGACAAGGAAGGAAUUGUUGACGGUAGUAAGAGUAAUUCGGGCGUGGCAUAUUUCCUUGGAGGAAGCAUAGUAAGCUGA
rnacentral:rRNA from 1 species